GGGGCUGUGGUGUAACCUGGCUAGCAUAUGGGCUUUGGGAGCCUGUGAUCCCGGUUCAAAUCCGGGCAGCCCCA
rnacentral:tRNA from 1 species